CCUACGGGUGGCAGCAGUCGAGAAUCAUUCACAAUGGGGGAAACCCUGAUGGGGGGACGCCGCGUGGGGGAAUGAAGGUCUGCGGAUUGUAAACCCCUGUCAUGGGGGAGCAAAUUAAAAAGAUAGUACCACAAGAGGAAGAGACGGCUAACUCUGUGCCAGCAGCCGCGGUAAUACGGAGGUCUCAAGCGUUGUUCGGAAGCACGGGGCGGAAGGCGUGCGUAGGCUGUUUCGUAAGUCGUGUGUGAAAGGCGCGGGCUCAACCCGCGGACGGCACUUGAUACUGCGAGACUAGAGUAAUGGAGGGGGAACCGGAAUUCUCGGUGUAGCAGUGAAAUGCGUAGAUAUCGAGAGGAACACUCGUGGCGAAGGCGGGUUCCUGGACAUUAACUGACGCUGAGGCACGAAGGCCAGGGGGGCGAAAUGGAUUAGAUACCCGAGUAGUC
rnacentral:rRNA from 1 species